GACGAACGCUGGCGGCGUGCUUAACACAUGCAAGUCGAGCGGAAAGGCCCUGCUUUUGUGGGGUGCUCGAGUGGCGAACGGGUGAGUAACACGUGAGUAACCUGCCCUUGACUUUGGGAUAACUUCAGGAAACUGGGGCUAAUACCGGAUAGGAGCUCCUGCUGCAUGGUGGGGGUUGGAAAGUUUCGGCGGUUGGGGAUGGACUCGCGGCUUAUCAGCUUGUUGGUGGGGUAGUGGCUUACCAAGGCUUUGACGGGUAGCCGGCCUGAGAGGGUGACCGGCCACAUUGGGACUGAGAUACGGCCCAGACUCCUACGGGAGGCAGCAGUGGGAAAUAUUGCACAAUGGGCGGAAGCCUGAUGCAGCAACGCCGCGUGCGGGAUGACGGCCUUCGGGUUGUAAACCGCUUUCGCCUGUGACGAAGCGUGAGUGACGGUAAUGGGUAAAGAAGCACCGGCUAACUACGUG
rnacentral:rRNA from 1 species